CGAUCGACACAGAGAGGAUGGUAUUGAUCGAUGUGCGGGACAGAGAGGUACGACACUUUUCUCUAACAUCUCAAACAUCUAACUUUGCUUAUCACCACCUUUGGACACUUUACACCGAGCGGUGUAAUAUAAGUCUGGGGGAGGUAGUACUAACACCAUCUUCUUGAGUUAUGUCAAAAUAUUUUCAAAAAUAAUUUUAUUGAGUAAAGAAGGGGACUAUGAACUUAUGAUUUUUACUCGAAUGUCUAACCACCUUUUAGCACCAUACUAGAUUUACCGAUUGCAGAUAGUACUAAAGAUGCUAAAGUGGAUCAACCUGUCAACUGUACACACUUGCCUAGCUUGUUUGAAAGAACCAAAGCUAACCUCCAACACUAAACCUGACACA
rnacentral:lncRNA from 1 species